AUGAGCUUCAAGGGCACGAUAUGGAAAAUUUGGGCACCGCCGAAGUGCAAGUUUUUUGCCUGGUUAAUUGUGCAAAACCGCGUUUGUACGGAUGAUCGUCUGGUGAGGCGUGGAUGGCCAAAUUGGUGGAACUGCCCACCCUGCAACUAGCUGCCUGAGUCGGCUGCACACAUCCUAUUUGAAUGCAGAUUCUCCAGGAGGGUGUGGGGUUCGGUCCAAGACUGGCUACAACUUCAAGGGUUUAAUCCAAAUGCAUGGAAAGGGUUCCAGAAUGUCGAAUCAUAGUGGUUUGCCAUCGUUCAUGACGGGCUUGGCCGUCGGAAGGCCAUGGCUUCUCUUAUCAUGCUAGUGGCGUGGGAGCUUUGGAAUGAGCGGAAUGUGAGGAUCUUCAACAACAAGUUUGUGCCGUCGUCCAUAGCCAUGUCCAGGAUACGUUGUGAGGCGAAGAAUUAG
rnacentral:rRNA from 1 species